rnacentral:rRNA from 1 species
GACGAACGCUGGCGGCGUGCUUAACACAUGCAAGUCGAACGGAAAGGCCCCUUUAGGGUUCCUCGAGUGGCGAACGGGUGAGUAACACGUGAGUAACCUUCCCUUGCCUUCGUGAUAACUUCAGGAAACUGGGGCUUAUACCGGAUAGGCAUCCUUGCUGCUUGGGGGGGGUUGGAAAGCUUUGGCGGUCUUGGAUGGACUCGCGGCUUAUCAGCUUGUUGGUGGGGUAGUGGCUUACCAAGGCAUUGACGGGUAGCGGGACUGAGAGGGUGAGAGGCCGUAUUGGGUCUGAGGUACGGCCCAGACGCCUACGAGAGGCAGCAGUGGGGAAUAUUGCACAAUGGGCGGAAGGCUGAUGCAGCAACGCCGCGUGCGGGAUGACGGCCUUCGGGUUGUAAACCGCUUUCAGCAGGGGCGAAGCUUGUGGUGACGGUACCUGCAGAAGAAGCACCGGCUAACUACGUG